GAGGAUAUAGCUCAGUGAUAGAAUGAGUGCUUAGCAUGCGCGAGGUCCUGGGUUCAAUCCCCAGUACCUCCA
rnacentral:tRNA from 1 species